GCACAUGAAAACACCGCAGUAAUAAUUGAGGAUCACGAAGCCAACGAGCAGCGGUUACAAUCUCUUAUGCUCCCUUUCGCAUGUGAAGACUCUGCAACCAUUGGUGAUCAUAGAGCCACUGAUCAGCAGAAAACACAGACACUGCACACAACAUCAUUGACUAUUGGUGAAAAUGCUCAAGGCGAUGACAACACAAUCCCUGAAUCAAUGGCAUGUCAGGCUAAUGAGCAUGGGCCAACUGUG